CCUACGGGUGGCAGCAGUAGGGAAUUUUGCGCAAUGGGCGAAAGCCUGACGCAGCAACGCCGCGUGAUCGAGACGCCCUUCGAGGUGUAAAGAUCUGUCAGUGGGGACGAAACUUGACGGUACCCACAGAGGAAGCACCGGCUAACUCCGUGCCAGCAGCCGCGGUAAUACGGGGGGUGCAAGCGUUGUCCGGAAUCAUUGGGCGUAAAGAGUUCGUAGGCGGUCUGUUAAGUCAGCGGUCAAAGCCCGGGGCUCAACCCCGGCCCGCCGUUGAAACUGGCAGUCUCGAGUUGGAGAGAAGUAUGCGGAAUGCGCGGUGUAGCGGUGAAAUGCAUAGAUAUCGCGCAGAACUCCGAUUGCGAAGGCAGCAUGCCGGCUCCACACUGACGCUGAGGCACGAAAGCGUGGGUAUCGAACAGGAUUAGAUACCCCUGUAGUC
rnacentral:rRNA from 1 species